UAAAAAAGUAAGCCUCUCUCUCUCUCUCUCACUCAAUUUUCAUUUCUUAUAGCUCUGAUCACCACAUCAAGGCCUCAAGGUAAUUUUGAUAGUGUAUCAUACACCCCAACAUCAUUAGCAGAGAAAGUAGGGUUCGAUGGGGUUGUGUUUCCUCUUUGUCUACGCCUCCUUCAGAGAUAAUAAGAGAACAGUGGGGACUGCUGUUUCCGGUUGCAACAUCAAUAGGCAUGAGAAAGACAGAUAGCUUAAUGUGCAGUUUGUGUUAAGAUGCAGAUCUUUAAGUGAUGAUGAUCUUAGACCAAACAUACUUAAAGUUCUCUCUUGCAAUGAGCAAAGAAGGGAGGUGAUUGUUAUGCAAACUAACAGAAUCGACAGUUCCUUCACCUUCUAUAAGAUUGUCUCAGCAGGAAUACAUAUUGAUCAAAUGAACAAUGGCAAGAGGUCACUCGUAAGCAAGGAGAAAAAAAGAGGAUUUCCCUAAUCAAGGGAAAUAAAUCAACUUGGGAUACAUGCGAAUGGAGAAGAUUAGAGAAACCCCUAUAUAUUCUCAAUUUGCUCAAUCCUAUAAUUUUGAACCGAUCUCUUACAACGACAUUGUAGAUAUACAAAAAUAUAUUCUGCAAUA